AUUAAACGCUGGCGGCAUGCCUUACACAUGCAAGUCGAACGGCAGCACGGGGGCAACCCUGGUGGCGAGUGGCGGACGGGUGAGUAAAGCAUCGGAACGUAUCCUGGAGUGGGGGAUAACGUAGCGAAAGUUACGCUAAUACCGCAUAUUCUGUGAGCAGGAAAGCAGGGGAUCGCAAGACCUUGCGCUCUGGGAGCGGCCGAUGUCGGAUUAGCUAGUUGGUGGGGUAAAGGCCUACCAAGGCGACGAUCCGUAGCGGGUCUGAGAGGAUGAUCCGCCACACUGGGACUGAGACACGGCCCAGACUCCUACGGGAGGCAGCAGUGAGGAAUUUUGGACAAUGGGCGCAAGCCUGAUCCAGCCAUGCCGCGUGAGUGAAGAAGGCCUCGGUUGGUUAAAGACUCUUUCGGUCCGGGGAGGAAAAGUUAGGUACGACCGGGGUUUAAAGUUAACCCCGUUAC
rnacentral:rRNA from 1 species